UUAUACGGCGAAACUGCGAAUGGCUCAUUAAAUCAGUUAUCGUUUAUUUGAUAGUACCUUACUACUUGGAUACCUGUGGUAAUUCUAGAGCUAAUACAUGCUAAAAAUCCCGACUCACGGAGGGAUGUAUUUAUUAGAUUAAAAACCAAUGCCCUUCGGGGCUUUCUGGUGAUUCAUAAUAACUUCUCGAAUCGCAUGGCCUUGCGCCGGCGAUGGUUCAUUCAAAUUUCUGCCCUAUCAACUUUCGAUGGCAGGGUCUUGGCCUGCCAUGGUUACAACGGGUAACGGAGGGUUAGGGCUCGACCCCGGAGAAGGAGCCUGAGAAACGGCUACUACAUCCAAGGAAGGCAGCAGGCGCGCAAAUUACCCAAUCCCGAUACGGGGAGGUAGUGACAAUAAAUACUGAUACAGGGCUCUUUUGGGUCUUGUAAUUGGAAUGAGUACAAUUUAAAUCCCUUAACGAGGAACAAUUGGAGGGCAAGUCUGGUGCCAGCAGCCGCGGUAAUUCCAGCUCCAAUAGCGUAUAUUAAAGUUGUUGCAGUUAAAAAGCUCGUAGUUGAACCUUGGGCCUGGCUGGCCGGUCCGCCUCACCGCGUGCACUGGUUCGGCCGGGCCUUUCCCUCUGGGGAGCCCCAUGCCCUUCACUGGGUGUGGCGGGGAACCAGGACUUUUACUGUGAAAAAAUUAGAGUGUUCAAAGCAGGCCUAUGCUCGAAUACAUCAGCAUGGAAUAAUAGAAUAGGACGUGUGGUUCUAUUUUGUUGGUUUCUAGGACCGCCGUAAUGAUUAAUAGGGACAGUCGGGGGCAUCAGUAUUCAAUUGUCAGAGGUGAAAUUCUUGGAUUUAUUGAAGACUAACUACUGCGAAAGCAUUUGCCAAGGAUGUUUUCAUUAAUCAGGAACGAAAGUUAGGGGAUCGAAGACGAUCAGAUACCGUCGUAGUCUUAACCAUAAACUAUGCCGACUAGGGAUCGGACGAUGUUAUUUUUUGACUCGUUCGGCACCUUACGAGAAAUCAAA
rnacentral:rRNA from 1 species